rnacentral:lncRNA from 1 species
ACAAAUUUCUAAAAUCAAAUUUUUUCAUCCAAGACGAGUAUGUUUUAGGAAAUUGUUGUUAAAUAUGUUUACCUUAGAAAACGAUUCUAACAUGGAUGUUUUAUUAUCUGUGGUUAAAAGACAUUUGAGUGCUAGCACCAGAUAGGCUUUAGCAAAGUGAAAAAGGUUAUCUCGCACAAAUGCCAGACUAUGUAUAAUUUACAGUUUUGUAUGUACGGAUGUGUCGAAACGCAUGUACACACAACAAGUAUGUUAAUAAACAAAGGCAUUAAUGCUCACUUCUUGCAAAGCAUUACAUACUAUAGUAUGAUAGCUAUUUUUGAUUCUUUGACAGCGUAUGUGUAGCUUCGUUUCUAAUAAUAUCUUCAAAUGGCAGAACUAUUUAGACCAUAUAUGGUUGUCAUGUCCAUGCAAUGUUGCAUAUCUUUUCCGGCUACAGUGCGGUCGUCUCUUGUCUAUUAGUAGUUUUAAAACUUCAUGUGUUUGUAAUGUGCAAUAUGUUCCCCCAAACCCUCAGAAACCUUAACUUUACCGCUCGCAUCUUUCGCUUAUCCUUCACUAUGCCCCAAGCUUGGCAGCCGAUAGAAAAUGCUUCGAGAGUUUGUAUAGGGUUUUGCAUAUUUGCUGCUACGAUAAAGAGAUCUGCACACUUAUGUAUCUCUUGAAUUUCUAGUCUGUGUGAAGCUGUUGUUAAGAGUAACGACAAGUCGCACAAUUACUAUUUUUGUUUUUAGGGACAUUACUCAAAAUUUUACUAAAAUGUUACUUGGGUCCCUAUUGCGUGAUACCAGUCAACCAUCAUGAGACAGUUGUUUCUAAGCAGCUUACUUUAAAGGUGUUUUUCAUUUCCCUCGAAUUUUCUUUUGACGUACCUAAGAUAAGUCGGGUUCAUAAAGUAAAUAUUCCUGGCCGAUGCGUCGCUGUACUUUUAGGACGACGUCAGCGCUGAAAAAGUAGUGUCACUGACGAUCUAUCUAUGAACUCGGAUACCUUAACAAAUUGUUAAGGUAUCCGAGCGACUGAAAUUUUUGGACGUAUCAGAAUCCUACCAAUUCAAUCAACUAUGGGCUUAUUAGAAAGCGGUUAUCCAAACUUUUUUUUCUUUUGGCGAGGCGUUUUUAGCAUUGAAACUGCUAAUUCUUAUAUUUGACGUUUCUCUUUUUUGGUUAGUUUCUUUAGCUCAUUGAUGCCUUCUUAUACAAGUAGACAGUAACUGUGGUGACUUACUGUUUAGAUAACUACGUAGUUAUUUUUAAGGCAAACCACUUUCGUCGUAGCAGGCGACGAUUUUAGAAUGACCGCCAUUGCUAAUAGUUACGAGUGCGUAAAAUUGAGACAGCGAACGUGGAUACAGUCAUCAUUGCAAGAUCAAUAGUUCGGGAGAUAUAAAUCGAUCUCAAUUCUUACAAAAUAGCUAUGACUGAAUCGCUUACAACUGUUUCGAUUACCUAAAACGUUUGGCGCAUUGUCCUUUUGGCUGUUGCUGCUGUUUUAUCCUAUCCUUUUUCUUUUUCAAUGAUCAGGAUCGGUACUUCUGUUGGUCCGGUGGUUCAGUUAGACACCUCUGAUCCAUAUUGGUGUAGGAGUAGGAGUCAUUUACAAAUUUCGUAAUCGUCCCAUACCGGUGAUCUUCUACGGCUUGUUAUUCACACUCUGUUCGCACCUUCGCAUUGUUUCAAUUUGGACUUCAUGUGAACUAAUGCAAUUGGUGAUGCUUCUGUGAAUCAAGAUAAAAUUUGGAGAACAACAUUAAUUAGCCCAAAGAAGCAAAAGUGGAUAUGGCCGUGAAAUGCUAUAAACUAAGAGACGGAGAGUACUUUGAAGUCACACCAAACAAAGGCUUGUUUUUACUCAUCUAGUUCCAAGAUUGUAGCAAUUUGAAGGUGCAAAAAUUAAGCAAAUUGGAGUAGGUAUGUUUGGCUUCCUUAACUUACGGGUCGGUCCGUAACUCUGUCAUCCGCAACGGAAUAGAGCAACAAGCGAGCUACAAGUGAACCUGAAGUCACCUCGCGUGCACAAUAGAGCUCCCCGUAGGCGUAAAGUAUUUUCAGGGAUCGUUACUGCUUACCAUCGUCGUUACGGAGAAUGCCAAAAAAAAACAGCAUUAGCAAUUCUCGAAACUCUUUGCUCAUGCAGUGGAUUCCAACGAAAAAUGUCAUAUACUGCAUCGAACGAUAACUGCAUCGGUUUUUUUUAGAGAAACCGGGUAUAUAUCUGGUUUCUGCUGCUUCUGCUGCUAUGUUUAUUUGGUUACGGAGCCCUCUAAUUGGCAUCAAGCUAAAACUAUGCUGUAUAAAGUUGUUGCAUCCUUAAGCUACAUGAACAUUCACCAUUGCACGGAAUGAGUCUUCCCAGCGUAUCAAGUCCUUCAGCUGUUCAAAUUGUCGUCAAAGACAUGUCGCGGGCUACUAGAUCUACUAAAUUUUCCAAAAAAAAAAUCCGAAGGAGUUAGUGAAAUAAAAUUUUCCUUAUUCACCUUUUUUGGUAGUACUAAAACAUUUCAUAUAUACAAGCUAAUAAGCAAAAUCACAGGAUCAAGAUGAAUAUCAGAUUAUUAUAGCUGUAUACAUCAUAUACGAGUAUACUUUUUUUUUACGUAUAUAUACGAGUUUUUAAACGUUGUUAAUUUUGUGGAUGUAUUUAAAUUGGUAUCAGAGGCCACGAACGGUAUGAGAUCUAUUACACUUCUGCUCAUAUCUGGAGCAUUUACACAUAUUGUCUAACUUAUCGAAGCCCCGUUAUUUACAGAAUCUACGGUGUAACCCAUGCAUGACAAAGCGUGUCACGACAGUCGUUUAAUUUGUACCUUUUCAUUUGCUGUUCAUUGCAUUUGAAUGUAAGGAAUUUCUCAUUAAUAUCUGAACUUUUUGAAGAUUGGUCUUAAACGUCUCUGUUGAGAAGUGGCGAUCCAGGUCCUCUUAUAGCUAUGGCGAGUCAGCUAAGAAAUACAUGAGACGGUUACGGGUCGCUACGUGUAGUAUCAGCGCUCUCUUAAAAAAGUUGUUUAGGGUUUCCCGCUGUGAGAUCCUUUCAAAUGACACGUACCUGUUACGUUGUAAUCGAAUCUAUUUUGAGGUAAAGCACGCUAAUAGCAGCUGUGGGAGAUAAACGAUGAGAUGAUUGGCGACCGAAACCACCUUACUGCAUCUUUUGGAGACGUGUGCGGUAUACUUCUGUUGACGGAAAUGAACAACCCUAUUUACGAAACCUGAUUAACAUGAACAAGAGGCAAUACAGCUAGAUACAAAAUGUCAGUGGCCACUGUCCUACCUCGUCUUGUAAACUUCAUCACCUCCGUCUUGGCCAAGUUCAUCGUCAAUCCCAACUCUGUGAUUCCCGCAUGGAGCUUGCUGCAUUUGGAACACGUUCAACCCUAAAAUCACUACGUGGUGCCCAUUUAGCAUGACUUCGACUAAGCCCUUUGGUCCUGUUAAUUAGUCAAAUGGGCCUUUCAACAGAUGGAGCAGAUGAGAUGGUGCACAUUGGCGAAGCAGUAAGUGAAAUACAAGCUGGUGCGUUAAAACAGGGAAAAAUAUUUGUUGAAAAUAUUUGGCGAGCUGGUCAUUCGAUGCUCCAGGUAUUAGACAAAAGCAGUUAUUUUUAGAUUAAAACACGGCGAACGGUGCAUCCUUUUGAAAAGUUGAGCAAAUAUUGGCGAUUAUCCGAUUCUUCUGCGCUGGACGAGUACUCAUCAAAAUUAAAAACUUCGAAAUCGACAGUCUAAGUUAUCGCCAAUUUUCAUGCUCAAGGUUUCUUCAUAAAAGUUUACCUUGGAGGCGGGUCCCUAAUAGAAUUUAGAUUUAAAAGACUCGAAAAUUAAUCGAAACUUUGAUAUGCAAAGGUUUUCGAUGCAGAAAGUUAUGGCCGCAUUUUUGAGAAUUUCGGUUUGCUAUCAGUGCAAAAUAUAAUUUUAUUUGUAUGUAGCGUAUUUUGCUGAGAGACUAUAGCUAUCGAUAUCGUUUAACAUACGGUUACUAUUGAAAUGUUACUCACAGACUAAAAAAAAAUAUUUUAAAGUAGUGAUUUAGUUUUCGAAUCAAAGCUGUAAUCGCAUUGAAUGGUGCUUUUAUUUAAUAACAUCAAUGUUAGAAGUAUGCACAAACAGUUUCGUUGAAGAAUUUGCUUGUUCCGAAAUUACACGUUUAGAAACAAAGCGUAAGAAGUUUAAACCAUGUAUAGCUCAAGUUUGUUUUCAGAAAAUGUCGUCCUGGGAUCUACAAAAAGGACUCGUUCAUGCUGCCUUCAAAACGUAGUAUCAUAAUUGAUGCGUGAUAUAUGUCAAUAUCUAACAUAUUACGACGUAUAAACGAUAAAGACCUAAAUUUAUUUAAUACAUUUACGAAUACUGCAGAUGGCGUUUGUGCAAUCAACACACUAAUUAUCAAAACCUGAAUCUGGCCUGAACUACGUUGUGAGAAUUGGGCUUGCUGUGUGACUUCACCACGAUUGUCGAGAGCUUUGUACACCUAUACGCGUUUUAUCCCAAAAGCAGUAAAGCUAUUUACUCCGAAGGGGUUAAAGAAACUAAAUAUUUGACCCUAAAUCGGGCCUGCAGUCUGCAAUAGUGCAAGUCUGCCAUUUUUAAAAGUAAUGAAAACAAUGAAUAGCAAACUUGUUUCUUCAUAUUACAUUAUUAUUUUUUAAAUACCUCUGAUACUUUAGCUUUUUGGAAAACUGAUAGAUAUAUGAAAAAUGUAAUGCUUAUACAUUUUUAGAAAUGACUGAAAUAAAACAAAUGUUGUUUAGAUUUCCAAUUUUUAUUUUUAGGUUAUAGCUUUUUACGGCUUACUUUUGAUAAAUUCGCUAUUCCGAUACCAAAUUUUAGUCGCCUUUAAUUUACUAUCCUAUAUUUUUAGUAUCAAAGCUUGGGAUUUGAUAGCGAGGAUAGGACGAUUAUGUUACAAGGGCAUAAUUACCGAAUAUAGUGAUUUAUAAUUCAAUGAAAGCAAUGACAUCAAUCGUGUACAGCAAACAGCUUUCUAACGAAAUACGCAAAAUUUGGUGAUCAGUAAACAACAAAUAGAAAGAAAAUAAGGAAAACUACGAAAACGUAUGCAUACUCUUGGUCCAUUUAAGGUUUUACCGAUGUUUUUUUCUUAGUAAACUCUCGUAUUGCUAUUUCUCUUCGUGGUCGUCAUGAAAGCACUAGAUACUUGUUUCGUGUUUAGCUCGUAGUGCGUAGUUUAGUGCUACUAUAAUUGGUAAAAUAAUUCUGUCAUAUACACACUCCACCAAGCUAUUAUAAAAUCUAAUUAAUCAUUACUAUAAUCAUUACCGAUACUAUAAUCAUUACAGAUAAAUUUCAACCACAUAAAAACAGAUUGUUUUGAUAAUAAACAAAAAAAACUGAACCCUGUCUUAGCCGUAGUACUAGUUGCUCCACGUUUCCUUCAUAUCGUAAAACGUUUUAUUAGCGGGAUGGCCUAACACGUGUCGACAAAACGUACCAAUUCAUCUAGCUAUUUUCAUAGAUAAGAGGUAUGUAAAUAAUCCACAUACACAGAUUAAAGCAUUUUGAAUCAUUACUGGCAUGAAAUAAGGCCUGAGAUAGGAGCAAAAACAUUCUUUUUUAAUAUGGUAUUCUUUAUUCGGAUCUUGUGUUUUCCGCUGCUUCAGUGUGUCGAUUAAAAUGCAGCUAUCAGACUUCACAACACCAACAAAUCUUUUUCAGUUCAACACCGUAUAUGUAUGAUCACGGAAAACUUGAGCCUGAAAUUUUAUAGAAAAGAUUUUUUAAAGAAAAAAAAAUGUACAAUGAAGUCCCUUCUGUCGAUGAAGCAAUAUUGGUUAUAAAUAUCCACAUAAGAACGUAGCUGAGACCCAACAGGCAGUUUUUAAACGUAUUCUAUUGAGUGAUUCCGAAAAAGUUACGUUUACGGAUGAGAUACUAUACUGAGACGGAUAUUACUUGUCUACCCUUUGUAAUACCGUUGGUUAUAAACCAAAGCCAAUAUUUUUUCUUGAAGUCAGAUAGAAAUCUUAGGGAUCAUAUACUAUUACACCGCAAUUUUUAUAUAAUAUAUAACUAAUCAGUAUGCUUGGAGAGUACCAAAGAUGAUUCAUGUUAUAUCUAAAAAUGUAUACACACCGGCCUGGCCCUUCUACGUUCCCCACACGUACUUAUGUUUCUUUUUUAGAAAAAUAUAUUUAUAUAUAAAGAUAGAUCGGAUCUGUGGGUCCUGUUCAUAUGUCUUGAUUUCCUCUUUCUAUCCAGAAUAACUACCUACAACAUAGACAUGCAAUGCUAAAUGAAAGCAUUUUUGUAUAAUAAUCGCCCGUUAUCAUAUAUAUAUAUAGAGUAUCUCUAAUUUUGCUGAGCUCAAGCAUGACGCAAAAUUUUAGGUAGUUCGAACAGAAUCGCCAUAGUCGUCCAUCUUAGUUACAUCCAGUUACAUCCAUUCUUAUGCAAGCAAGGCCUCAAAAAUGUUUUUCGUUCAGUAGGUUGAAACGUCAUGCAAAAUGCAUAAUAUGCUUAUUAAUGUUGUACAGUGUUACAGCUGACAACUUUGUGGAUACAAAGGCGGGCAGUAUUUAAUUACAAUUGCACAAACUGUUUAUUUCAUUGCCAUGCGUUAUAAUUGCGAUUGGUUUUUGCAAUUUUCUAAUUAUUAAUAACUCAUACUAUAACACUACAGGGAGCUUUGUUGGAGUUCGAAUUUGUAUUGAUUUGUUACCAAAUUACAUCUAAACAAGCACAUUUUUUUACAUGUGCGAACUGACAAUACUUACGGUUAUCUUUAUUCGACUAACAUCCGUUCACUUCGAUUUUCUUCGAAUUUUUCAAAUAUUCUCAUCUCUAAAACGGCCGCUGAUCUUCGCAUUAAGUUUGGGAUCAUAAAAACUGGGCUAUUCGAGUUCUGUAUUGAGAAUUUUCUGAUACGCUUUGAAGAAGAAGAAGAAGAAGACAAUUUUUUUUUUUAGAAGCCGCAUAAAACUUGGUAUGUAAAAAAACAUAUGUAAAGUGUUUAAUUUCAGUACUAUUCGCUAUGCUUAAAGGUUUUUGACAAUAGAUGACUUCCUUGUAUAUACCAAAGAUGAACCCCCAGCCGAUGUGAUCAAUUUGAGGUUUGUUGUUGAAAAGAACUGCUUUUCUUUUAGCACCAAGAAUAGCGGACGGAAAAUUAACACAGAUCAUUAUAUAGCAUUACUUUGCACUACAAUAUGUACCAUUAUAAUUCAAGUCUCUAUGUCACUACCGUCGUAAGUUACUAAAAAUUGAAAGCUCGCAAAUAUUCGAUAAUAUUCCAUGCAGGGCUAUUGAAGAGCCACAUACACCACAAAUAUUCGAGACCCAAAAUGUAGUUUCAUUUAAAUGGAGACACGAACCUUCUGGGAUAGAAGUAAAUGAGAACUGAUAGUCAGAUAGUUGACGUUUAGCUAUUUCUCAAGCUGACGACGAAAUUCACUAACUAUACCCAAAAACUUUGUUAAGCAUAAUGAAAAUACACUUUAUUUUUAUAAAGUCAAGUUAGUCAUAUGGAUAGGUAAGUUUACUUCGGCAAUACAGCGAUUUUGCAAUAUCAACAAAAUGGCAGAACUUCCAAACUAUUUAGUUUUUAAUCUUCGAAAAAAAAAAAAAA